rnacentral:rRNA from 1 species
AGAGUUUGAUCAUGGCUCAGGACGAACGCUGGCGGCGUGCUUAACACAUGCAAGUCGAACGGAAAGGCCCUUCGGGGUACUCGAGUGGCGAACGGGUGAGUAACACGUGGGUGAUCUGCCCUGCACUUUGGGAUAAGCCUGGGAAACUGGGUCUAAUACCGAAUAGGACCACGCGCUUCAUGGUGUGUGGUGGAAAGCUUUUGCGGUGUGGGAUGGGCCCGCGGCCUAUCAGCUUGUUGGUGGGGUAAUGGCCUACCAAGGCGACGACGGGUAGCCGGCCUGAGAGGGUGACCGGCCACACUGGGACUGAGAUACGGCCCAGACUCCUACGGGAGGCAGCAGUGGGGAAUAUUGCACAAUGGGCGCAAGCCUGAUGCAGCGACGCCGCGUGAGGGAUGACGGCCUUCGGGUUGUAAACCUCUUUCAAUAGGGACGAAGCGUGAGUGACGGUACCUAUAGAAGAAGCACCGGCCAACUACGUGCCAGCAGCCGCGGUAAUACGUAGGGUGCGAGCGUUGUCCGGAAUUACUGGGCGUAAAGAGCUCGUAGGUGGUUUGUCGCGUUGUUCGUGAAAUCUCACAGCUUAACUGUGGGCGUGCGGGCGAUACGGGCAGACUAGAGUACUGCAGGGGAGACUGGAAUUCCUGGUGUAGCGGUGGAAUGCGCAGAUAUCAGGAGGAACACCGGUGGCGAAGGCGGGUCUCUGGGCAGUAACUGACGCUGAGGAGCGAAAGCGUGGGGAGCGAACAGGAUUAGAUACCCUGGUAGUCC